rnacentral:lncRNA from 1 species
UUGUCCUCAUUUGAUUAUUUUCCCUUUUUAACGAAACUCGUUAGUGCACGUGGGGGUGCGCUCAGACUACCACUGCGGCGUGUGGAAGGUCUGUGGCUGGAAGAAGCCGAAAGCCCUGGAGGUCGUCCAGACGGAGCAGAUGGCCACCUGCAUCAACGUCAGGUAUGCUUUGGUCAGUUUCGUUUGCGCUAAAUAAAACGGGCGACUUCAGUCUUCCCAGUGAAGUCCUCGAGAGAUAAAGGUCUGAGUCCAAAAUCUUUAGAAAUCGGGGAGUUUCUUUUUGCAAUCCCAGGAUUUAGCAGAAUCGAUAUUCUGACUUAUUAUAUGGGAUGAGGUCGUAACAAUAGGUCUAGAAAACGGGGAAAGUGUUCUCGUAUUUUUUAAUGUAAUACUUGUAACCUGAAGCAGCCGAUUUGCAUUUCCUUGUGGUGUCUUAACAUUAAAUGCUUACUUUAAAGCUGAUUUGCUCUGUCAUGUUAGAGAUGUUCAUCCGCAACGGUAUACCUUUAUGCAUUAUUCAAGCGCAUUUACUCCAUGCUGCAGUGUUUAUAUUCCUUUAUGGCCUUCUUGUUGUCUGCUAGCCCCCAUCUUCCAGGAGAGCUGCUUGUUGCCACAGAGAGUGGAAGUGCGUAUCUGUGGACUGUUGGGAAAGGGUUGCAGAAGCUCCGGGCCGAAGCGGAGAACCUGUACUUCAAUGCCCAGUCGGCGUGGAGGUGGUGCGAUCACACCGCUCACCCCAGGAUCGUGAUU